rnacentral:rRNA from 1 species
CAAGGAGUGUUCGAUUGGACUCCUUUUCACACAAUGAACAACCAGCUUAGAACUGAUGCGGGCAAGGGGGAUCCGACUGUUUAAUUGAAACAAAGUAUUGCGAUGCCCUGAAAGGAUGUUGACACAAUGUGAUUUCUGCCCAGUGCUCUGAAUGUCAAAGUGAGGAGAUUCAACUAAGCGCGGGUAAACGGCGGGAGUAACUAUGACUCUCUUAAGGUAGCCAAAUGCCUCGUCAUCCAAUUAGUGACGCGCAUGAAUGGAUUAAUGAGAUUCCUACUGUCCCAAUCUACUGUCCAGCGAAACCACAGCCAAGGGAACGGGCUUGGGUGAGUCAGCGGGGAAAGAAGACCCUGUUGAGCUUGACUCUAAUCCGACUUUGUGAAAUGACUUAGGAGGAGUAGGAUAUGUGGGAGCUCAGGUGAUCUUGAAAUACCACUACUUUUAAUGUCACUUUACUUACUCUAUCCAACUGUGCCCUGCCUCACAGCAGGUUUUUGCUUUCAAGGUUGCUCUUUUGGCGUGUUGAUUUGCGUAGAAGACGUCGUCCGGUGGGGAGUUUGGCUGGGGCGGCACAU